GUAGGUGGCAAGCGUUGUCCGGGAAUUAUUGGGGCGUAAAGCGCGCGCAGGCGGUUCUUUAAAGUCUGAUGUGAAAGCCCACGGGCUCAACCGUGAGGGUCAUUGGAAACUGGAGAACUUGAGUACAGAAGAGGAAAGUGGAAUUCCACGUGUAGCGGUGAAAUGCGUAGAGAUGUGGAGGAACACCAGUGGCGAAGGCGGCUUUCUGGUCUGUAACUGACGCUGAGGCGCGAAAGCGUGGGGAGCAAACAGGAUUAGAUACCCUGGUAGUCCACGCCGUAAACGAUGAGUGCUAAGUGUUAGGGGGUUUCCGCCCCUUAGUGCUGCAGCUAACGCAUUAAGCACUCCGCCUGGGGAGUACGGCCGCAAAGGCUGA
rnacentral:rRNA from 1 species